GUUAGGAAUAUUGGACAAUGGGCGCAAGCCUGAUCCAGCCAUGCCGCGUGAGUGAUGAAGGCCUUCGAGUUGUAAAGUUCUUUAGCCGAUGAUUAUAAUGACUGUAGUCGGAAAAUAAGCCCCGGCUAACUUCGUGCCAGCAGCCGCGGUAAUACGAAGGGGGCGAGCGUUAUUCGGAAUCACUGGGCGUAAAGCGUGCGUAGGCGGUUUUGUAAGUUAGGAGUGAAAGCCCAGGGCUCAACCUUGGAAUUGCUCUUAAAACUGCAAGGCUCGAAUGUCGGAGAGGAUAGCGGAAUUUCCAGUGUAGCAGUGAAAUGCGUAGAUAUUGGAAGGAACACCAGUGGCGUAAGCGGCUAUCUGGACGAGUAUUGACGCUGAGGCACGAAAGCGUGGGGAUCAAACAGGAUUAGAUACCCGGGUAGUCC
rnacentral:rRNA from 1 species